GAACCAACACUACCGCCGCCGACCAUCUCCCUCCCUUCUCAAAAGCUCUACCAACGUCCCCGCUGCGCUGCAGCUACGUGACUAAUGGGCAUGCAAUCACUGCUUCCCAGUCGCACCAGCAAACCCAUGCUGCCACCGCCUCUCAUCCAACUGGAAAACAGCUGCUCUACCCAUUUCUGACAAAAAUUAGUCCGAUCCUUUGGAGAACAUGUAAUUUUCAUGACGGAUUCUUAAGAAUCCAUCCAAGGUUUGGUUUUCUAUUUUAAUUUUUUAAGGUACCAUCGUCUUCUAUUCCUUUUUCUUUUCUACAUUUUCUUUAGAUUUGGACGUGUCAAAACUUGAUUAUGAAUUUUUAGCUGAUCCUUGCAAUUUCAUGUGUCUAUGUGCUUAGAUUCACCUAUACAAAAAUGCCUAGUUCCUGUGAGCUCUCAUUAACAUUUUUUUAAAGUUUGUGAUUGCUUUUUAGGGAUUUUGUUAUUCCAUUUGCUAGGCUGAUUUUAUAAAUUCGUUGGUUCUGAAUACCAUGACAUGUCUAUUCUUGUUACGUUAUAAAUUAUUUUCCUUUAAUUGGUGAAAGAAUGGUGCUUCCUUUUUCUGUAAUUAUGGUAUGCUUAGAUGUGGUUUGACAGCCUGCUUAAUUGAGUAUUUUAAAUUGCUUAGAUGUGGUAUGCUUAAUGGUUUGACAGGUUUGAUAGCCU
rnacentral:lncRNA from 1 species